AUUCGAGGGGGGGAGAGGCAGAGGGGAAAAGCGCGCCGGCUCUCUCGCUCUCGCUUCGCCUUCACGCAGACAGCGCCGCGCUCAGGGGCGUGUGCCUCUGCGGGGCUGCCUCGCCUCGCCUCCAGUUGAGUCCCCGCGGCCGGAGUUGGGAAGAAGGAUGCUGCCGGAGCCGGAGGCGCUCCCCCCGGUCCUCCCGCCUCUGCCAUCUCCAGCUCCCUCAGACUUCUUGGCCAGACUAUGAAAUGACCAUUCCUGCUCACCUCGCAGCAGCAGCAGCAGCAGCUCCCGCCGCCCGGACCCCGCUCUUGCCGCUCGCGCUUGGGGCGAAAGGGCGCCCGUCCUGCCUGAGGAGGAGCCCCAGCUGGGUCUACCGGCCAAGUCAAGGCGGCUGAGGGAAGAGAGUCGGCGAGGCUGGCGGGCGAAGCCCGUUUCGGAGUGGCUGCUUCUCCUUCCACCUCAGACCCGCGCGCGCCCCUCUGUGCCCAAGUGUGCCGCCUGCCUGAAGGCGCUGCUGCCGCCGCCGCCGCCGCCGCCGCGCGCGCUUCCUCUCCUGAGGCGAAGCGAGGCAGCGCCUCUCUCUGAAGUCUCGGGCCACUUCGCCAACUGCUCCCGCUCCGCUUCGCCCUCAGGAAAAGUCGCGAGGGCGGCGGCGCUUCCAGGUGGGCCCGUGGCCGACGCAGCAGCCCAUCACCGCGGAGAAAGUAGGGGCGGGAGGGUGGGCUUGGGGCACCGGCGAGCUGGACUUCGGCUUUGGGGUUUGGCUGCUUCCCCCAGCAGCAGCAGCAGCAGCAGCCAUGGCGAAAGGGCUGGAAGCCGCCGCCGCCGCCCGCUACGGACUGGGACUGGGAUACUUACUGCAAAUGCUCGUGCUGCCCGCCUUGGCCAUCCUGAGCGCCAGCAGCCCCGGCUCCGCCGCGCAAGGUAAGACUGCCCUUGUUCGGCCAGGCGGCGCCUGCCUGCCUCCCUCGCUCCUUCCCUCUCUCGGCUCCUCAGAGUUCUUUCCCGGCCUGCCCAGGUUGGACUGAGUGGCGCUGCCUGCCUGUCCAUCUUCGCCGCAGAACCCCGCAAAGGCGAGAGCGAGCGCUUUCCUCGCUCACCCCUCCACAGGUUAAUGGAUACCAGCAGGGCCAGCUCGGGACGGGGGCGGGGAGGAGCACCUCUCUCGUUAAGCGCUAUCGCUACUUCUACAUUCCUCUGCCCAAGUGGCCCCGACACCUUUGGGGCGAUGUUCAGUGCCGACGAAUCCAAAAGGGGGCUCGUCUCUCGAGCCUUAGAACUGCCGCCUUCGAGGCGCCGCAUGGGGCUGGUGGCUCCUGAGAGAGAAGGAUGUGUGGAUGGAUGUCUUCAGGCAUCCCCGCGCGCGCGCGCACACCUUCGCCUCUUCCUUCUCCAUCCACGCAGCUUCUGCAAGGGAGAAACUUACGAAAGGAGGCUCUCCCCCUUUCCCCUCGCCAGGAGAUGGGGAGCGAGAGGGACUCUCCCCUAAUCCUGCUUGAUCUCUAGGACUGUGGGGGGGAAACCCGCGAUCUCCUCUGGUUGGAGCUGGAAAGUGUGUGUGUAGAUAUAUAGGUGAGUGAGGGACAAGCUCGAUCGCUUCGCUUCCUCGGGUGAGGCGUUUGAAACGCGAGUGGCGAAGGGAGUGUUGGAAGCGGCCCGGAGUGAAGCUGUGCAGCUACGCAGGCGCCUGUACUUCGCAGUUUAGCAGAGUAGGGUCAGGAUGCCAGGCGGGGCAUGUCCCCCGUGCCCUCGGCAUAUCUGGGGAAGGAGAAAGGAAAGGGUUGAUGCCGGCCUUGCCAGUAGCACCCGGGGCUUUCGCUUCAUGUGUCCCGGCUUCUCUCUGAGCGUGUGUUGCUAUGCAGCUAUGUGUCUUUGCCAUGACAAGAGAACCGCGGGAGUGUUCAUGGUGAGUUCCGGCACCUCUUUUUCUAGAAAAACAGCUCUGCAGAAAACCAUCUGAAAUCCCACACACACCCUCAGCUGAAUUGAUCACAGCCAGAGGUACUCCUCUAGGUCCAACACAUUUUCUUUGACUUCGCUAGGAGACGGCCUGCCUAGUUUUGUGCCACCUUAAUAACUGGCAGGUUUGUUGUGGCAGAAGCCUAUAAGGUGCCACAAGGCUGGCUCUCUGCCCAUCACCUUCUUUCUCCGUCUCUCUGUGUUUGAUCUGCUGAAACAGACUUAACAGGACUACCCCUCUCGAAUUUGACUUUCAGCAGGAGCACUUCAGAGAAAGUGAAUCGUUUUUAUGCCAGGGGCAGCUCUAUAAACAUGAGCCAAAGUGAGACAGCCACUUCAAGUGGCAGGUUUUGGCAGCCAUGAAGGGUGGGAGGGCAGGAGAGUUGAGUGAGAGACAGAUCUGCCCCAUGGGGUAGAAUCCAGUGGGGAAGCAUUCCUGGGCAAGCUGCCUGGGGCAAGCCCUAUCAAAAGGAACAGGAACUGGACGCAAUGCCUCCCUUCUCACAGAUGCUAUGCAUUUCAAUUGGGGACUUGUGAAGGAGAAUUUCCUGAUGGAUUGUGUACCAUAUUAAAACAGUAGUUCAAGGCACUAUUUAUGUUUUCCACCGUAGGCAUAAAAAAUGUCUGAGAGGCACCUCCAGAGCAAGUGACCUCUUGCUUUACACUUCCAGCCCUCAGGGUUUGGGGCAAUUUUUUUUGCCCCUACCCAAAUAUUAAUAUGUGGACAAUGCUAUCAGAAACAAACGAGCCCACCCCCCACUUGAGUCGGAACAUUAAGCUUUGCUGAAAUUCCUAGAGCAAAAUGAACUUAAGUAUUUGUAUAGAUACCAGGAGUUCACAGUACCCUGCUGGUGUUCCUUUGCUGAGAUCCCCAUGAAAAGGACCAUUUGCAAAGUUUGCAGUCUCUGGGCAGCAUCAAAACUGGUUGGUUGGCUCAGCUCCUUUGAACCCUAGCGCCUGAAUAAAAACAAGAGAGACAGACAUCACACUUCUGCUGGACCUUUCAGGGGGAGCCAGUUUCCAUGUGAAGGAUUAGUAACAACAGGCACCAGCAGAAGGGUGGCUUUUUAGGUUUAACAAACACGCUCUUCUGUUGACUCCCCAGACAGACAGGUGCCAACUAACUUCAUAUAUAUAUAUAUAUAAACUGAAUGCUGGUUUUCCUGAUAUAAGACUGAGGAAGCCAGAAGGAGAGACCCUCACCCCUGAAUAUUCACUGAACGAAUUAAUGAGAGAAGCUGAUAAGGCUCCAACUCAUGUUGAAAGGCUGGCACUGUCUUUAUCUCAUAACAUCAAACAAACAAAUAAAAGGGUUAAUUGGGGAACAAAAGCAGGCUCCAUAGAGAUAGCCAAAUGGGAAGAUAAUCUGAUUAGUACUGGAAAGGGAGGGGGCAAGGCACUAUGAAUGGGACAAUUAGUUGAAUUGCUUAGUGCUUCUUCUUAUAUUAGCCAUAACUGACAGGCUGAGGUGCCUGGGAGUUCAUCCUUCUUUCUCCUUUUUGCUUUGCUCAGCAGGAAAAGAGCUUUCCUGAAAUGUUCCUCCAUUGGUUUCUAAGCCCCCUUGCCUGCCACCUCUUUCACUGCACGCCUAAAACAUAAUCUUUGCCCAAAGAAUUUGCCUGUGUACAUAUAGAGAGUAGCACCAUCAUACAGAGAUAUAUAUCACUAGCUCGUUUUUUAAACUGAGAAUAAAUCCGCAGCCAUUUUAUUGCUAUUAUUAUAGCCUGAAGAUGACUGUAAAAUAUCUCCUUCAGAAUUAUCUCUGUGUCCCCGGGAAUGUUUUGCUACAUUCUGACUAACCUUGCACUAGAGCAUCAGGUCUCUACAUUGUAUUUGCCUUGGCUUCUACAUCACAAGGCAUUUCCUUUGCAAGAUGCUUUAAGCGAGUGCCUUCUUGAACUUCCCUUGCCACACACCAGUUGGCUCAAUAACAGAUGAUGGAAAGAAGUUCCAUACAUGUGUUGAGCUAUAUGCCAUAUAUACAAUAACAACAAGCAGUCUUAUUAAAGCUAGCUGAGAAACCUGUUUUCAUUGUUACCAUGGUAAAAGGAGUGGAGUGGGUAAAAGAGACACACGCCAGAAAUUCACAUUUUCAGCGACAGCUGAAAAAACAUUGUGUGCAUUAGAGGGCCCCACAGAAGACAACAAGGAUAGGUGUUUCCCAGGACACCUGGAAUAUUGUCCAAUUAGGUUUCUUUGCAUAGAGCACCCAAUAAAGUCAGAACCAGAAUCCUUUUCAGUGUGGGCAUAUUUCCUCUUUCAGGUUCAGGGAAUUCACAGGAAUCCCCUCAAAUCUUGGACAUGCAGUUUGUAAAGCAUUCCAAUAAACUUUUUUU
rnacentral:lncRNA from 1 species